rnacentral:rRNA from 1 species
GACGAACGUUGGCGGCGUGCUUAACACAUGCAAGUCGAACGGAAAGGCCCUGCUUUUGUGGGGUGCUCGAGUGGCGAACGGGUGAGUAACACGUGAGUAACCUGCCCUUGACUUUGGGAUAACUUCAGGAAACUGGGGCUAAUACCGGAUAGGAGCUCCUGCUGCAUCGUGGGGGUUGGAAAGUUUCGGCGGUUGGGGAUGGACUCGCGGCUUAUCAGCUUGUUGGUGGGGUAGUGGCUUACCAAGGCUUUGACGGGUAGCCGGCCUGAGAGGGUGACCGGCCACAUUGGGACUGAGAUACGGCCCAGACUCCUACGGGAGGCAGCAGUGGGGAAUAUUGCACAAUGGGCGGAAGCCUGAUGCAGCAACGCCGCGUGCGGGAUGACGGCCUUCGGGUUGUAAACCGCUUUCGCCUGUGACGAAGCGUGAGUGACGGUAAUGGGUAAAGAAGCACCGGCUAACUACGU